rnacentral:rRNA from 1 species
UACGUAGGGGGCUAGCGUUGUCCGGAAUCAUUGGGCGUAAAGCGCGUGUAGGCGGUUCGGUAAGUCCGCUGUGAAAGUCGGGGGCUCAACCCUCGAAUGCCGGUGGAUACUGUCGAACUAGAGUGCGGAAGAGGCGAGUGGAAUUCCUGGUGUAGCGGUGAAAUGCGCAGAUAUCAGGAAGGAACACCCAGUGCGAAGGCAGCUCGUGGACGGAACUGCGCUGAGACGCGAAAGCGUGGGGAGCGAACAGG